rnacentral:rRNA from 1 species
ACGGGAGGCAGCAGUCGGGAAUAUUGCGCAAUGGAGGAAACUCUGACGCAGUGACGCCGCGUAUAGGAAGAAGGUUUUCGGAUUGUAAACUAUUGUCGUUAGGGAAGAUAAAAGACUGUACCUAAGGAGGAAGCCCCGGCUAACUAUGUGCCAGCAGCCGCGGUAAUACAUAGGGGGCAAGCGUUAUCCGGAAUUACUGGGUGUAAAGGGAGUGUAAGCGGGACUGUAAGUCAGAUGUGAAAUAUGCCGGCUCAACUGGCAGACUGCAUUUGAAACUGCGGUUCUUGAGUGAAGUAGAGGUAAGCGGAAUUCCUAGUGUAGCGGUGAAAUGCGUAGAUAUUAGGAGGAACAUCAGUGGCGAAGGCGGCUUACUGGGCUUUAACUGACGCUGAGGCUCGAAAGCGUGGGGAGCAAACAGGAUUAGAUACCCUGGUA